GCGGGGGCGGGGAAGGAUGGAGGUUUCCACACCCACUCGGGCCCCGCGGGAGGAGGGAGCACGCAGUUCUCUCCGACGCCGCCAGGGGGCGAUGUGCGCCUCCCAUGAUGCACCAGCGCCCAGAGGACCUGUGGACUCCGGGGUUCCCAGAGCAGCGGGCUGUGUUUGCGCUUAGGGGAGGAGGCAAUAAUGCAGCCAAAAUCCAGAAGAGAGCGAAGUAAAGAGGAUCUUAGACGGCUGGACGCCUUGUGCCAGCCUGGCAGUGCUUCCUCAGAAACCUCUCUGGACAUUCUCCUUGGUACAACCCCACUGCACUACCCUGGCCAGGUCAGCAUCAGCUCUCCCAGACACUGCAACAGUCUCCUCUCUGCUUCCAGCCCCCAAGCCCCAGGCCCAUGCUGGACCUGAAUGCCCUUCCAAACACAGAACUUUGAUCAUACCCAUAUCACUCAGAUGUGACUAGACUC